AUUAAUUAGAUGAGGGCUCGCUGAUUAAGAAUCAUCUCCAUUUUUACAAGUAAUUUUGUGGUUAUAAAAGUUGGAUUUUUGACAGAAGUGGGGACAGACAUUGAAUCUAUGUGGCGCCAAUUCUAGCUAGUGGCCGCUGCUGAACUAACUUACCCCAAAUUACUCCACUUUAAAUCUUUAAUAAAAUAAUUUCCUCACAAUAUUAUUGCAAAAAUAAUAUUCCUCUAUUAUUCCUCCAAAUGCCAACUCGAAAUACUUUAUCCUUUAAAGAUGAGAAGAAAUUUACGAAACCCCUUUUUGACAAUGUUUAAACAUUUUUUUAAUAAUUAUUUAUUAAUUCUCUGAAAAUCGUUGUUAUCAAAUAAAAUUAAUUUUUAUUAUUUAUUUUAUCAACAGAGAAAUUUUCAAUUUUUACUUUUCUUACAACAGUAAAAAUAACAUUACUUUUGCUGUAUAAAUAAGUUAUAUGUCUUGAAUUUAAAAUAUAAAUUAUUAUUAUUAUUAUACAUUAUUAAAAUAAUGAAAAUCUAAUAAAUUGUUUAUUGCAAUUUUACUGGCUUUAAUAUGAGAUAAAUCCAUUUUCCGGGCCCAGCGCAAUGUAUACAUCAGAGCUUACAUUAGAACUAGUGGGGAGAGACAAGAAAUGGUAGAGCCGAAGAUGCACGAAGGAAACACGCUCACCGAUAUACGAGGGUAGCGUCGUAGUGGUGAGCAGUGGUAGUGGUUUUGCAGUAGCCACGAGGCGCCCGAGAAUACGCGGAAAAGUACUUAUGUUUAAAGCUAUAUAACACAAUAAGUAUUUGAAGGAGACAAAUUUUAAUUGUUGGAAAUGAAAAAGCAACUCAAAAACUAUCGAUUGGUAUAAAAAAAUAAAAA